AUUGUUAGUCUUUAAUUUCUGUGAAUCGAUCAGUAUUAUCCUCCUUGUGAUUCCUUCAAACAAUUAAAUUUUUCUCUUAUUCAAUUCGUACCUGCAGCACUUUUGUCUCAUGACAUUGCAUUCUGCAGAAUUUCUCUCAGGUUCUCUUACACCCUAAUUCACAUUCGUAGUAGAGCACUUUGAUCUCAUGACAUCGCAUUCUGCCGAAUUUCUCGCAGAUUCUCUUACACCCUAAUUCAUAUUGGUAUUAGAGGAAAGCAAGGGCAUAGAAGACUUUGGUGAUGUUAUUAGAGAAGCCGGUUGAUUUGUUUAAAGUACGUGGGAAGUUUGCCUUAUCAUAUGUUUAUGAAGAUCGCUUUUUACUCUACAAAGGGAAAAUUCUUCUAGUCACUCAUCGAAGAUUGAUACUGUGGCAAGUAAGUUAGCUGGAUUAGAAUCAUUGCUAUCUAUCCCUUCCUAUCUGCUAUACACCAUUCAACGACACCUCCUUGCGCCUUCGUCAGUACUCGCAGCGUUGUUCGUGGGCACCAAGUAAUAUGAAAACUUCUCUAUGUUUGAUUAGAGUUGAAUAUGCUCCGUGGAUUUUUAUAUCGGGAGAAGCCUUCAAAUUACUGUACAAAUACAUAGAGAGGAGCAUUUAUUCCAAUUGCCUUUGAGUUUUUCCUUUCCCCAACAAAAAGAAAGAAAAAUCUGACCCAAAAAAAUAAUAAUGAAGGAAG